CUCCAUUUUACCAGCAGGUUAGCACUCCAUUUUACCAGCAGGUUAGCGCUCCAUUUUACCUGCAGGUUAGCGCUCCAUUUUACCAUCAGGUUAGCGCUCCAUUUUACCUGCAGGUUAGCAAUCUAUUUUACCUGCAGGUUAGCACUCUAUUUUACCAGCAGGUUAGCACUCUAUUUUACCAGCAGGUUAGCACUCUAUUUUACCAGCAGGUUAGCACUCUAUUUUACCAGCAGGUUAGCACUCUAUUUUACCAGCAGGUUAGCACUCUAUUUUACCAGCAGGUUAGCACUCUAUUUUACCAGCAGGUUAGCACUCUAUUUUACCAGCAGGUUAGCACUCUAUUUUUUGUUUUGCUUUGAGAGAGAGAAUAAGAAGGAAAGAUAGAAAGAGAUGUAGCGAGGAAAAAGAUGAAAUCAAGGCUUGAGGGGACAGCAAUGCUAUUGUCAGCUGA